CCGUCGUCAGCUACACCUCCCUCCUCGGGAUCCUCCCUAUCUGGAUCCGCCGCCACUACUUCAUUCCACCAGCCAACGCGGGUUAGUCAGAUCCAUCAAUCCUGUCCGUUUGUGGUCAGAUCGGGCGAACGGGAGGCCUCCUCAUUGCAGCGACAAACAGGCCCGCAAGGUCGAGCGCCUCGUUCCCAUCUUCUCUAGCCUCGAUCCAGGUUGAAUCGGAGCAGCACCGGCGAGCGCCACCACCAGGUCGCAACAACCUUAAGCACAUGCCCCUCUCCUUCCUUUCCAUCAUUCCUCUCUCUAACCUCCCCGCUCUCCCUUUCUUCUAUGUUGGUGAGGAACAACCAUAGAAUUCAAGAACUCCAUGUCAGCCCAAACGGACUCGAGCAGCCGUCGUCCUUGCCCAAAGCUCCGCGUGACCUCGCCCCCGACCGGAUCACGAGCACGAACGGCUGGGUCAACGAGCGUCUCUCCAGACUUCCAAUGCGUGGGCCUUGCCCUGCUCCUGGGCUAGCUUGGCGUCCCGGCCCGGUAGCGCCCCAGCCGAAGCCGGCCCAGCUCCAGCCGGCCGAGGCCUCGCAAGACCCAUCGACCCGGCUCAAGGCCACUUGAGUUAGCGCCAGCCCCACCUCUGUUAUAUUGCGCCCUAGGCACAUUAUAGCUAUAUUGUGCCACUAGUUUUGGCCCAUAUUAGUUUUUUUCGAGUUUGGCGGUUUUAAUUAUUACCAGGGAUUUCACAAAGAUGCAUAUUUUAAAACGGUCGUGACUUUUAAUCCGUGCACCGGAUUGCGACAAGUUAUAUAUGUAACUUGGCUAGAAUUUCGCUUA